rnacentral:rRNA from 1 species
UAAGGUAUAAGGUGUAGAGGUGAGUAUGUUAAAUAAGAUACCCUGUAGUCUUCAUAGCUAGGAGAUAUAAAGUAAAGGAAAAUUUCUGCUAUAGGAUUCUAUUUAAUUUGAUUAGGUAGUUGGAAGGGUAACGGCCUACCAAGCCUACGAUCGAAAGUCAAGUUUGAAAGAACCUCUGGCCACAUUGGGGAUGAGAUCUCCCAAGUAGUAUUAACACUACCAGCAGUCGAGAAUAUUAGUCAAUGCUCGAAAGAGUGAACUAGCUAACUGAAAUCAUAGAAUUUCUUAAAAUUCAUGAUGUCGUAAGGGAAAAUAAUGAUAUUACCUUACUAUGAGUGUCGUCCAAAUCUGGUGCCAGAAGACUCGGUAAGACCAGAGACGCAAACGUUAAUCAUCCUAAACAGGCGUAAAGGGUUUGUAGGCAGCUCCCAUAAGAUUACUAUUGCAAAAUCUAUAAAGUAAUCUGAUUGGGUGCUAGAAUCAAAAAGAGGUUAUAGUGUAUAACGCCUAGAGGAGGGCUGAUAUCCAUAGAUCCUAGGCAGAAUACUAAAGGCGAAGGCCACUCUCCACUAAUGAUUGACGCUGAGAAACGAAGGUUAGGGUAGGAAAUAGGAUUAGAUACCCCGGUACUCCUUUCUGUAAACGAUGAAUGGUAGUCAUUAGUAAAAGUAAAAUUACUAGAGACGAAGUUAACACAAUAACCAUUCCGCCUUGUGAGUACUACUGCAAAGUAGAAAACAAAAAAAUUAGUCGGUCUCGAAGCAAACGGAGUGAAGCAUGUUAUUUAAUACGAUAAUCCGCGUAAAACCUUACCAGAACUUGCAUACAAACUAUAAAUUUUUGGUCCUUUACAAGGGCUAGAAAA